UACGUAGGGUGCAAGCGUUAAUCGGAAUUACUGGGCGUAAAGCGUGCGCAGGCGGUGUUGUAAGACAGGUGUGAAAUCCCCGGGCUUAACCUGGGAACUGCAUUUGUGACUGCAUCGCUGGAGUGCGGCAGAGGGGGAUGGAAUUCCGCGUGUAGCAGUGAAAUGCGUAGAUAUGCGGAGGAACACCGAUGGCGAAGGCAAUCCCCUGGGCCUGCACUGACGCUCAUGCACGAAAGCGUGGGGAUCAAACAGG
rnacentral:rRNA from 1 species